CGAACGCUGGCGGCGUGCUUAACACAUGCAAGUCGAACGCGAAAGUUUUCUUCGGGAAGCGAGUAGAGUGGCGCACGGGUGAGUAACGCGUAAGUAAUCUACCCUGGUGUUUGGGAUAACCCACCGAAAGGUGAGCUAAUACCGGAUACGCUGAUUUAUCAGGAAAGGUGGCCUCUUCAUGAAAGCUACUGCAUUAGGAGGAGCUUGCGUACCAUUAGCUAGUUGGUAGGGUAAUGGCCUACCAAGGCAACGAUGGUUAGCGGGUCUGAGAGGAUGAUCCGCCACACUGGAACUGGAACACGGACCAGACUCCUACGGGAGGCAGCAGUGAGGAAUAUUGCGCAAUGGGGGAAACCCUGACGCAGCGACGCCGCGUGAAUGAUGAAGGCCUUCGGGUCGUAAAAUUCUGUCAGAUGGGAAGAAGUGUUACAUGUUUAAUAUACAUGUAAUUUGACGGUACCAUCAAAGGAAGCACCGGCUAACUCC
rnacentral:rRNA from 1 species